AGAUGGCGUGGCGCGGCAGGAGUCUGGCGCGUUCUGAGUCCUCAACCAGCGUUACCGCCAGCCGCGUUACAAGCAGCCGCCAGGUGUCUGCACCAGCCUUACGAUUAUUACAGGUUCAGAGAGGUGUUCGGUGAGUAUCGGGGCGCGGCCGCUGCGCUGGACACCAUAGCCCUCAACGCAGCCUGGGUCAUGCGAGCUGACGCCGAUCUGCUCAAAUACUUCAACUCAAUCAACCAGUGAGGUCAGAAAAUGCUUUAGAUUGAGAAAAGAAGGCCCCAUGAUUAUUAAAUUAUUAUUUAUUAAGUAAAA